UAAAGCACAAACUAUGUUUAACAUUUAACAUAUCAGGAAGAUACUAGUUGCAAGGACUCAAAAACCAAAAUUGUAUCUGAUGACCUUAAGAACUGUAUAAUUGAAGUGAGCCUUGCUGAUCCACAGAGCAACGGAAUUACAUUGAGAAAACUGAAAUAAUUACUAAAAUUGUUCUGGGUGAAAACUCCCUGUGUAACUCCCAUGGAAUAAACUUUGUUAUUGACAGAAAGUGUUCACCAUUAAAAAAAACUGAAGACCAUAUUUGGAGUUGCUGUUGUCAGAAUGACUGAUGGUUACUUGCUUUGUCUUUUCUAUGUGGGUUUUUAAUAAAAAACUUCAACAAUCUGAUGCAGAUAACUAGCUGAGCUUGGCAUCAAGAGGUCUGCCAAAUUCAGAAAAAGAUGACAGAAAUCAUGGCCUGAGAGGGUAGACAAAUGACUUGAAAAGA
rnacentral:lncRNA from 1 species